rnacentral:ncRNA from 2 species
GUAGUAAAAACGAUUAUUGGUGGCUGGAUGCCAGGGAAGAGAGGUGAAAAUCCUCCGCUGCCCCGCAGCCGUAAAAGGGAACGAAAACCUAAAAAAACAGUCAAUAGUCAAUAGUCAUCAGUCAUUACAACAAAUGAUCAAUGACAAAUGACCAGUAGCUAAUGACUGAAUUCAGACCACUGUUAUGGGUAAUACCAUAGUGGGAAGGUAGGUAAGUAGGUAGCCCUUAAGCCGGAAGACCUAUCCAAGCUAAAACAAGUUC